rnacentral:rRNA from 1 species
AUUGAACGCUGGCGGCAGGCCUAACACAUGUAAGUCGAGCGGCAGCGACUUAACUGAACCUUCGGGGAAUGUUAAGGGCGGCGAGCGGCGGACGGGUGAGUAAUGCCUGGGAAUAUGCCCUGAUGUGGGGGAUAACUAUUGGAAACGAUAGCUAAUACCGCAUAAUCUCUUCGGAGCAAAGAGGGGGACCUUCGGGCCUCUCGCGUCAGGAUUAGCCCAGGUGGGAUUAGCUUGUUGGUGAGGUAAUGGCUCACCAAGGCAACGAUCCCUAGCUGGUCUGAGAGGAUGAUCAGCCACACUGGAACUGAGACACGGUCCAGACUCCUACGGGAGGCAGCAGUGGGGAAUAUUGCACAAUGGGGGAAACCCUGAUGCAGCCAUGCCGCGUGUGUGAAGAAGGCCUUCGGGUUGUAAAGCACUUUCAGUAGGGAGGAAGGUAGUGUAGUUAACACCUGCAUUAUUUGACGUUACCUACAGAAGAAGCACCGGCUAACUCCGUGCCAGCAGCCGCGGUAAUACGGAGGGUGCGAGCGUUAAUCGGAAUUACUGGGCGUAAAGCGCAUGCAGGCGGCCUGUUAAGUCAGAUGUGAAAGCCCGGGGCUUAACCUCGGAAUUGCAUUUGAAACUGGCAGGCUAGAGUCUUGUAGAGGGGGGUAGAAUUUCAGGUGUAGCGGUGAAAUGCGUAGAGAUCUGAAGGAAUACCAGUGGCGAAGGCGGCCCCCUGGACAAAGACUGACGCUCAGAUGCGAAAGCGUGGGGAGCAAACAGG